rnacentral:rRNA from 1 species
GACGAACGCUGGCGGCGUGCUUAACACAUGCAAGUCGAGCGGUAAGGCCCUUUCGGGGGUACACGAGCGGCGAACGGGUGAGUAACACGUGGGUGACCUGCCCUCAGCUCUGGGAUAAGCCUGGGAAACCGGGUCUAAUACUGGAUAUGACUCCAUGACGCAUGUUGUGGGGUGGAAAGCCUUGUGCGGCUGAGGAUGGGCCCGCGGCCUAUCAGCUUGUUGGUGGGGUGAUGGCCUACCAAGGCGACGACGGGUAGCCGGCCUGAGAGGGCGACCGGCCACACUGGGACUGAGACACGGCCCAGACUCCUACGGGAGGCAGCAGUGGGGAAUCUUGCGCAAUGGGCGAAAGCCUGACGCAGCGACGCCGCGUGAGGGAUGACGGCCCUCGGGUUGUAAACCCCUUUCAGCUCCGACGAAGCGAGAGUGACGGUAGGAGCAGAAGAAGCGCCGGCCAACUACGUGCCA